UGUAUAUGGAUUUAGCACAGAGAGUAGCACGGCUGCGUAGUUCAGAAUUUCCUUAAGAGCGUUUACCUUAAAGCUAAUUAUUAUAGACCGUCUCGAGUAAACUAAGCUACUGAAUUACAAUUGAUUUAAUGCAGUAGAAUUCGAGAAGAUGUACACUGUCGCAAUUGGAACACGAAUGCUACAGCUGUUGAUGGCCAUGCAGUUUCUGCUGCAGCUUGUCCCAGCGAAUGGCGCGAUCUCGGCCGAAGCCUCAGCGUCGGCUGAAGAUGCUGCAGCGUUUUCGAAUGAUCAGGAAGAGCGCUUCUACCUGGUAACAUACGCUACCAGCACCGAACUACAUGUCUCCUUCACUACAGCCACCGUGCCUUAC